ACUACCCUUAGAGGGGUUGCAGGUAUAGUUGCUGUGUCAUGUGUGUGUCAUUGGUGGCAGAGAGGAAAGAGACCAUGUCUAUGUUCAGUGUUCUGACAUGCAAGCAUCUGAAUGGUUAGUAGCUUAACACU